rnacentral:rRNA from 1 species
AUUGAACGCUGGCGGCAGGCCUAACACAUGCAAGUCGAACGAGUGGCGGACGGGUGAGUAAUGUCUGGGAAACUGCCUGAUGGAGGGGGAUAACUACUGGAAACGGUAGCUCAUACCGCAUACCAUCAGAUGUGCCCAGAUGGGAUUAGCUAGUAGGUGGGGUAACGGCUCACCUAGGCGACGAUCCCUAGCUGGUCUGAGAGGAUGACCAGCCACACUGGAACUGAGACACGGUCCAGACUCCUACGGGAGGAAGCAGUGGGGAAUAUUGCACAAUGGGCGCAAGCCUGAUGCAGCCAUGCCGCGUGUAUGAAGAAGGCCUUCGGGUUGUAAAGCACUGUCAGCGAGGAGGCGUUACUCGCAGAAGAAGCACCGGCUAACUCCGUGCCAGCAGCCGCGGUAAUUC